rnacentral:rRNA from 1 species
UACGAAGGGGGCUAGCGUUGCUCGGAAUUACUGGGCGUAAAGCGCACGUAGGCGGACUCUUAAGUCGGGGGUGAAAUCCUGGAGCUCAACUCCAGAACUGCCUUCGAUACUGGGAGUCUUGAGUUCGGGAGAGGUGAGUGGAACUGCGAGUGUAGAGGUGAAAUUCGUAGAUAUUCGCAAGAACACCAGUGGCGAAGGCGGCUCACUGGCCCGAUACUGACGCUGAGGUGCGAAAGCGUGGGGAGCAAACAGG